rnacentral:lncRNA from 1 species
GCACGAUCACGGCUCACUGCAGCCUCGACCUCCUGGAGUCAAGCGAUCCUCCCAUUUCAGCUUCCUGGGUAGCUGGGAUUACAGGUGCACGCCACCAUGCCCAGCUAAUUUUUUGUAUUUUUUUAUAGAGAUGGAGUUUUGCCAUUUGCCCAGGCUGGACUCGCAGUCCUGGACUCAACCACCUUGGCCUCCCAAAGUGCUGGGAUUACAGAUCAUUAACCUUGGGGAAGUCACUCAGUCUCUCUGAGACUUCUUACCUACACACUGGAUUUAACAGUACAGAUCCUACCCAGCUUCUGGGGAUGAAAUGAAAUGCUGCAUGUGAAAACACACUGGAAACUAUAAAAUGCUAAUCAAAGAUGAGAGCACAACAUGACAGCCGGAGCAACAGUAGCUAUCUUAUGAAUGUGAGAAUGUGGAUCAUACUAGAUUGAUGAACUGCAAUUGCCCUAUCAGCCCAGCACUGCCUACUUCUGGAAUUCUCGUUGUGUGUGAGAAAAAUAAAUUCCUAUUUAUUUAAA